rnacentral:tRNA from 1 species
GCGGGCAGUCAAGUGGUAAGGUCGCGGUCUGCAAAAUCGCUAUUCGUGGGUUCGAUUCCGGCCCCGCC